AUUGAACGCUGGCGGCAUGCCUUACACAUGCAAGUCGAACGGUAACAGGUCUUCGGAUGCUGACGAGUGGCGAACGGGUGAGUAAUGCAUCGGAACGUGCCCAGUAGUGGGGGACAGCCCGGCGAAAGCCGGAUUAAUACCACAUACGACCUGAGGGUGAAAGGGGGGAUCGCAAGACCUCUCGCUAUUGGAGCGGCCGAUGUCAGAUUAGCUAGUUGGUGGGGUAAAGGCCUACCAAGGCAACGAUCUGUAGUUGGUCUGAGAGGACGACCAGCCACACUGGGACUGAGACACGGCCCAGACUCCUACGGGAGGCAGCAGUGGGGAAUUUUGGACAAUGGGCGCAAGCCUGAUCCAGCAAUGCCGCGUGCAGGAAGAAGGCCUUCGGGUUGUAAACUGCUUUUGUCAGGGAAGAAAUCUUCUGGGUUAAUACCUCGGGAGGAUGACGGUACCUGAAGAAUAAGCACCGGCUAACUACGUGCCAGCCGCCGCAGUAAGAC
rnacentral:rRNA from 1 species